rnacentral:rRNA from 1 species
AUUGAACGCUGGCGGCAGGCUUAACACAUGCACGUCGCGCGGGGCAAGGUAGCUUGCUACCGCCCCUAGCGGCGGACGGGUGAGUAAUGCGUAGGCAUCGCCCUAUUAGUCGGGGACAACAUCUCGAAAGGUAUGCUAAUACUGCAUACCUCCUACGGGACAACGAAGGGGUUCUUCCGACCUGGCGCUACUAGCUGAGCCUAAGUCGGAUUAGUUAGUUGGUCGGGUAAAGGCCUACCAAGGAGACGAUCUGGAGCGGGUCUGAGAGGACGAUCCGCCACACUGGGACUGAGACACGGCCUAGACUCCGACGGGAGGCAGCAGGGGGGAAUAGUGGACAAUGGGGGGAACCCUGAUCCAGCCAUGCCGCGUGUGUGAAGAAGGCCUUAUGGUUGUAAAGCACUUUAAGCGAGGAGGAGGCUACUCUAGUUAAUACCUAGGGAUAGUGGACGUUACUCGCAGAAUAAGCACCGGCUAACUCUGUGCCAGCCGCCGCAGUAA